GAGCGGCAGAGAGGACAGGCAUGGAAAGGAGGCCUGUCUCCCACGGAGAACUCCUCCAGUGCGAGCAGACAUGCAUGGUGGAACACGUGUGAGCAGGACAGGAGGGCCGUCUCUCGGGAACGCUGGCCCGCCCCCACGCGCUGACCGCCAGCAGGGGAGAGAGGCGCCAGGCAGAUGGAGCACUCGUGGGUCUCCCGGCGCAGAGCCUGCGGCACACGGGACAGGAGGAGGCCACACAGGUUAGUUUCAUCACAGCAGAAAGUGACUUAAACUGAAAUGAGCAUCAUGUGCCCCGAGACGUGGGUCUUCUAAACAUGCGGAAGUUUCAUUCUGUGUUAAAAUCACAUGGAUUUUAUAUAUAUGCUCUGUGACUCCUGGGAACUGUGGAAAGGGUUAGUAACCCACCUGUGACAAGCAAUUUUGAAACAAAAAUACUUUCUAAAAUGCUGAACAUUAAUAUUUCCUUUUAAGUAAGCAAUCAAGAGGACUGUUUUUCAAAACACUUGACUAACUGCUAAACUUUCCCAAAUUUCCUAAUUUUAUGGUUUUUAAAGUAAGUUUUCCCCGCCUUGGCUUGAGUCAUCUCAUGGUCGUUUUCAAGCUGGAACUUUCAGGAAACCUGGGAAGGCGAUCUGUUCCCUUCGGUGUUUUCACGGUUCACAAAACAGCAUCAUACAACAGGAACUUCCAGAAUUUCAAACCAAAGGGUCCUUUGCCGUCACCCUAAAGGCCACGACGAAGGUCCUACCAUGGGGCAGAGGUUACCCCGGGGCCCGACACUCCCAGGCUCCCCAAAGUGAGUCCUCGACCUCCCGCCACCAGCCGCUCCCCACAGCCUCCCCAGCUGCAGCCGAGUCCGCUGGUCGCCAGGCCGCCAGCCAAGCCCACCUGUACUUGGAUUUUCUCCCAUUCCUCUUCUGUCAUCUCAUGGCCGUAUUUUUCUUCGAACUGCUGAAGAACGCUUCGGUUUAUGGCCAAGCACCGAUCGAUCUCUGCAAAGAGCUCUUCGAUGUUGGUGUUGUACGAGCACAGGAUUCGGUGGCUGAUUUCUGUGAACUGGGGAGGACAGAGGGAGGGUCAGGCUCACACCCGAGCUUGGUGCAGGUCGCGGGGAAACGCUCUUGAGCCUGACCAUCUAUUUUGGUCACCUUCCUCAUCUCUGUCUUCAAAGAACACUUUUUAGGGAAAUAGAUAUAUGUCUAUCUUACUUAACUUAAUAUAAAUCCAGAUAAUCUAUCUGGACAGAUGACCACAAGAACCCCUAUCUAAUGGGGUUCAGACUACACUACCCCAAAAUAGGGCACCUUGGCACACUGAAUAUUUUAAGGAAAAAACAUUCCUUCCCAAAGGAAUUUGAGAAAUGACAGCUGCAGGAGGGACCAUCUGACCUCUCCCCACCCCUGAAGUGGGUCACAGGACCCUCCUGUGAGAGGCCCCCUCGUCUCCAAAGACAGAGGGAGCCGGGAGUAGGCUGAGCACACACAGGCCCUGCCGUGGUUCCCACCCGCCACCCUCAGCUCACUCCCCUUGCACGCUUCCCCACGGCCUCCACGUCCUCCGCGUCCUCAGUCCAGCCUCGCAUAGAAAGCGCUCAGGCCUCACUGUCUCUGCAGGUCUCCACUGCCUUAGGAAGGCUUCCAUAUCAAAUGGACUUAUUAAGUAAAUCUGUGUAAUUUUCUUUUGUUAAGCUUUUUGUCUAAUUUACAGGGCUCCAGCUAAAGAAUGUAGGAGGGUAGGGGAAAAGGGUAUAUUGUUUCCCUCCCCUGCUGUUUUCUUGGUUGUGAGCUUUGACCAUUAGCAGGAACACAUUUGAAAUUAAAAGUUGAGAGAAAAAUUUGAAUUUUGCAGGAUCAGCUCUGUCCCAUGGAAACGUACUGUGAGCUACAUAUGUAAUUUUAAAACUUCUGGCAGUCACAUUAAGUUUUUUAAAAGGCGAAAUUAAUUUUAAUAUUGUAUUUGACCCAACAUAUCCAAAAUAUUAUCACUUCAACGUUUAUUAAUUGAAUACAGUAUUUUGGUUUUCUGGUAUUUUUGUUUGGUUUGGUGGAGACAGCAUCUUGCUCUGUCACCCAGAAUGGAGUGCGUGGGGCCAUCAGUGCUUACUCACCAUCGGCCUCCCAGGUUCAAGCCAUCCUACACUAUAAAGGUCUGAGUCAUUGCAGAGCGGUCACCGGUGUCAUCUGAGGCUCGGAGAGGUAGCUCAUUCAGGGCCACACUAGUAGCUCCUUUUCAGGAAGCGUGAAGACGAAUGUAAAGCAAAGGAGAGUAAGGUGUGUGAAAGGCUGUGCCAAUGGUGACUGUCAGCCACGCUGCCUGCCCUCUUGCUUGUCCCUUCAAGGGCAGAGCUGUGGCUCACCCAGAGAUGACAUCUCCCAUUCCCCCAAGCCCAGGUGGGUCCACGUGAAAUAGUUCUUCCAGAUGGACGUGGCUCGUGUCUCUUCUGGGUGUUCUCCAGGCCCAGGGGGUGGCAGAUGAAGGACAGAGGGAGACAGUUCCUGAGCCCCACAGGCCGGCAUGUUGCCUGCAAGUCAGGACACCUGAACUGUCCUGAGACGGAAGCUCCGGCUUUCAGUCACUGAAAUUCGAGGGUUCUUUGUCCAGCAGUUAGAAGUGCCCUGAUUCAGCAGUUACAUCUGCUUCAUGGAAUCGGGCUUGAAGCCCAAAGAAGGAUGAAAUGAAGAGGGCCCAUGGGGAUCUCACACAUUUAGAUGUGUGAUGGGGAAAAUGCAUUUUGGAUGGUCCAUGACUGUCCAGGUGUCAAAUAUUCUAGUCUACCGGAGACCUCACGUUCUUUUUCUUUUUUUUAUUUAAUGUGGAGCAACCUGGCAGAAGGUCACCUGGCAGAAGGUCACCUGGCAGAACGUCAUGUGUAUUUAAGUCCCCAGACUUCGGAAGGUGCCUUUGAGGACAUGGAGUUCUCUUCCAAUUCUCUCCCUUCUGCAAAAAGAUCGUGAGACAGCGCGGGGUCGAGUGCUGUGGAGACUAUGAGCUGCCUUUGUCCCUGGGAUGUUAGAAGAAUGAGUAUUGGCUUUAAGGAUGAGAGAUCCUUUUGAGUAAAGAACAUUCUGUGAACACAGCAGGCGGUCCACAAGGGUUGGGGUUUGAAUGAAGGGGGUGGCUGAGGAUCUUCCAGGCACCUGUGUUUUGGGAUUAGCCGUACUUGGAAGCCCGGUGGAAGCUGCUUUUCUAUUUAUGAGUCAAAUUCUCUUUCACUCUGAAUGUAAUUAUAAUUGCCAAGCAGCUGUAUCUUAAUUUAGGGUCUUCAAUUGGUAAUGUUUCCUAAGGCUUUAAUUUUAGUUUUCUUUGUUCCUUGGCCUUUCAAAUAUCUAAUAAUAUCUAAAUAAAUUAUUGAAAGUAGAAGAGUUCUCUAUAUGUUGUAAAAGGAAAAAUUACUUGGAAAUAUAUACAGUUACCUCCAAUUGAUGCUUUGCAAUUCAGGUUUUCUGUAAAUUGUUUUUAAGUGUGAGAUACUUUCCACAUAUGCCUGAAAAGCAAGAUCUUUUCUUCCUUCAAAAUUAUACCUCAGAGAAAGGGUCACAUUCUAUCCAGACCUUGCGAAGUGUUUCAAGUUGUGCGGCAUGUUCUGAGAUGAGUUUUGAACAUAAAAAUACUAUUUGGAAUGAUUGAUAAAUUGAGUGAAAUGAUCAAUAUGAUCUGGAUGUUUAUUCUCAAAGUGGGGCCCAGACCCGCAGCCUCAGCUCCUGGGAAUCUGAGAGAAAAGCAGAGCUUCAGGCUUUGCCCCAGGCCUGCCGAGGGUAGUCUGGGUGGGGGGUGGGGUAAGCCCUGCAAUCUGUGUUUUCCAAGCCCUCCAGGUGAUUCUGAGGCCCAUUCAGGUUGAAGAACCAGGGUCACAGAAGUUACCGAUCACAUUUUUUAAAUAUGCAAAGUUAUUUAACACAGCAUUAUUGAUCAUUCCUGAGGUGUCACCUCCCAACUCCAAGCAUGGGCAUCGCUGUGAGUGAGCUUUCAGAAGCCACUUGAGGAACACAGUAAGUGCGUGGGCCCCAUAUAUACAUACCUACGUACGUUGAUAUGCAUUUAUGUUACAGUAUCACCUGUGUGUGCAUAUAUUCUAUCAUACGCGAGUGUCCCUCUCUCUCUACAGGAUGCCUGGAGGAAUCCCAGCUGUCCUGAUGUUACAUGAAUGAGUUACUUGCAGCUCAAGCCCCCUGCAGGAAGGGUGCCCCGCAGCAGCCGGGAACCACCCGAGAGGCCUCCACAUGCACCUGGACAGGCGCGCGGGCUGGGUGCUCACACCUGGGCCCCAGAGGUGCUGGUCAGCACCCCCUUUACAAUGAAGGCUCGCAAAGUACACAACUCCAAGUGCCGGUCCAUGAAAGCAGGUCACACAGACUUUUAAUACAGAUCCGCACGGUGAAUGACAACAAUUUCUAAAGGGGCUGGGGUGAAAAGAGUUGGGGAAGUGCUGAGCUGCCAUGGAACAGGCACUGUGCUAGCCCGACGGUCUGGAGGACAAACACUGCUUCCUUUAACAAAGAGCUCCCGUGUAGCAAGAAAAGCCCCGCUGACGAUGGAAUGCGAUGGAAUGCGUGCUGCUGUGGCACUCGGGAGACACGGAGGAGGGAGGGAGGGAGGGAGGGAGGAAUCGCCGGGCUUCUUGGGAAGUCAGCCCUGGGCCAACGCAGCCAGUGGGACAGGGGCCUGGGAAGGAAGGAGUGAGGACACAGGCAGAGGGACAAUGCAGGGGGCAAGACCCACAAGGGCAAGUCACUGGAGCCCAGCCCCACCCACCUCCCUCGACAGCCUCUGUCCUCUGGGAACGUUCUCCCAGGUCACUCCCCACGGGCCACCCUCCUUCCUUCUUGUUCCUUCCUUUCCUGUGUGAAUCUUAUGGUCUGGCCAAACUUGUUGACUCAGUUCAGUGAAAUCACUGUUAGAUAUUUCUGUUUCCUUGACUGCACAUGAAUGGCCAGUGGGAUCCAUGUGUCCAGGUACCUGGGCUGGAGGUGACCUCUCUCCUCUGAGCUCUCACAGGGCACUGCUGCUCCUUUCAUUCCACACACGUCAGCUGCCCAGUGUUAGCUUUUUCCUGUGUGCAUUGCUUAUCUCCUUGAAUGAGCGCCUUAGAUUCAGGGAAGCACCAAUUCAUCUUUGUAAGGCCCUUAGCAUUCAAGAAAUUUUGACUUUAGGUUUGCAACAGAUGAGAAAUGAGAGCAAAUAUAUGCCUCAAAUGUACAUAUUCCAAAGGAGUGCAGCAGAAAUCCUUUUUGGGGGAACUGAGAAAAAACACUGCCUACCUAAAAUGAUUUUCAAGUUACUUCCAGUGUCAAAAUUCAGUAAAACAUCAACUUUAGCUUAUAAUCAUAACAUUGACAUUAGCUUAUUAAUAAAUAUACUGAAAGUCCUUUCAUAGGCAUUUAUGACAAAUUUAAAAAGUGAACUGGGAUGAAUAUUCUCAUAGCUUUGAGUAUUCAAAAGUUAGCAAGGGUGGUACUUGUAAAAGUCAACAUUUAUUAACUGCUGUAGUUAAUUCAAAGUAAUAUUCUGUGGUUAGCUACUAUUAAAUAUUUUUAAUUGUCAAAA